UCUCCUACGGGACGCAGCAGUGGGGAAUAUUGGGCAAUGGGCGCAAGCCUGACCCAGCAACGCCGCGUGAAGGAAGAAGGCUUUCGGGUUGUAAACUUCUUUUAUUGAGGACGAAACAAAUGACGGUACUCAAUGAAUAAGCCACGGCUAACUACGUGCCAGCAGCCGCGGUAAUACGUAGGUGGCAAGCGUUAUCCGGAUUUACUGGGUGUAAAGGGCGUGCAGCCGGAGAGACAAGUCAGAUGUGAAAUCCACGGGCUCAACCCGUGAACUGCAUUUGAAACUGUUUCCCUUGAGUGUCGGAG
rnacentral:rRNA from 1 species